rnacentral:lncRNA from 1 species
AGUGUUCUGAGCAUGAUGCCAGUGUCUAAAAACACACAUUUCCCCUACAACCCUGACCCUAAACAAGGCCAGCUGCUUCUUCUGGGGCUCAGCCAAGAAGCUGUGAUUUUUCCCACACUGGAGGAGAGACAGACUGUCUUGGGCUUACUGAGAGUUCAUGUAUCUGUAUGAGGUCAUCUGUAUAAACCAAUACAUGCUGCACUUAAUCAUCAAUUUGAGGGAUUUCUAACGGUAACUCUGGUCUCCUGCACUUUUUACUUCCUUUACAGCCUAAUAUCUAGGUGAGAUGUGGCUCUACCAUAAUCCCAUUUCAGUGUGAGAGCAGUGACAAUGCCAGGCUUUUCAGCUUUCCUCUUAGCCACAGAACUCUUUCUUCAAAUUUGACUUAUGUUAGAGCCAAGUAUAUUGAAUAAGCAAAGGCUGAGCUCCAAACCUGUUCAAAAUAAGAAUUCCACUACCUCAAAUAGUGUCCUCUUUAGGAGUACUGAUGGAACAAACUACCCUAAGAACUAAAUACCAGGAAUAGCUGGUAAUCUGAUCUUUAUUAAAUGGACCCAGUGACAUGCAUUUUUUGUAUGAACGCAUGCUUCUUUGCCAUGGUGGCCAGGAAGCUCAGUGUUACAGCUGUGACUACUUUAGGCAUUCAUUUGUUCACCCCCUGGUUUCAUCUUAUUUUUCUACUCUUGUUUUCUCUCUAGUUUCAUUUUCUUAAAUUUUUUAUUUAUUUAUUUUUGGACAGAGUCUCGAUCUGUUGCCCAGGCUGGAGUACAGUGGUCCAAUCUCAGCUCACUGCAACCUCUGCCCCUCGGGUUCAAGCAAUUCUCCUGCCUCAGCUUCCCGAGUAGCUGGGAUUACAGGAAAACAAUUGUUUCAUGUAAGACGCUGAGCGCAAGCAAGUUGGGCAUUCUGUUCAGGCAUUUGUUCAUCAUUCAUUCACUUACUCAUUCAACAAAUGUCUACGGAACUACUUUGUGCAGUUUGGGAUUAGAGAUGUGAAUAAUGCAGGCGACGAAACAAGUUUGCUGAGAGUCAUGGUGUGCCCAGCACCACAUUUUGGUUCAUCAUGGUUCAGAAAAGUUUGUCUUCUCUUGGCACACCCAGCUUUGACGGUGCACAUGAAUAGGAUACAGAGGUGCAGGCAGAGGCCAGGCCAGCCCGAGUCAAAGCUUAGGAACAGAGGAUGAAGACUGUUGCAAGUAGGCCUCUCCCCAUCAAGUCCUUCUCUCUCCUCCCUGCCCCUCACCAAUCGUUUUGCUCGUUCUACUUUCCAAGAUCUUUCUUGACAAACUUCCUCCAUUGGACACUGCUGUCUCUGCGUGCCAGCAUCCUCCCUCCUUCAGGUUCACCUUGAGUUUCUUUUGGAGAUGAGAGCUUUACCGCACUAUCGUGUGGCUGGGUGGUGAUAACCACACCCCUUAGUCCUAUUGGCUGGACCUGGCCCAUCAGAGCCACGGUGAUCCAAUCCAAGACAGCAUGUGACCCCGUGUGGGUUGGAGAACCAGGUCUGGGACUUUUGCUGGGCCUUUUGGGAAAGAAAAAUUCACUUUCUGAGGGGUUGCAAAGUCAGUGUCUUAUUUAAAGGCAAUUCUGCCUUUGUAUGUUGGAUAGUCUACUAAGAAUGGAAGCAAGACACAGGAAAGCAGAGAAGGAGGAGAGCAAGAGGGAGAGGGAGAUGGGAGAAGACAGAGGGAAGAGGCCAGAAGGGAAAAGGAGAGGGAAGAGGGGAGAUGGGAGAGAGAUGGAGACGGAGAGGGAAAAGAAGACGAAGAGGGAGAGGGGAGAAAAUGAGUCUUGCUACAUCUCAGAACCUUUCAGUUACUCAAGUCAAUAAAUAGUCCCUUAGCUUAAGCUAGUCUGUAUUAGCCAACUGGUAUGUAGAUGCUGCAAAACAUCUUACAGUGUACAGAACAGACACCUCCAACUAUCUGCCAGGAAUUUACCAUCUGGAAUUUCAGGGCCCUGAGGAAGCCUUUGGGAAGCUCUGCGUCUUGCAAUCAACAGAGACCUGACUGAUAUACCUCCCUGGCCUGUGAGACACUCUACCCAAAGAGGAACUCAAAGGACCACUGGAAGUUUAAGUCCUGCUAUUAGAUGCAGAGACACCAAUGGCA